GAAAGCAAAACCCAGCUGUGAGGCAGAAAAUCAAACCAGUUCUCCAAGCCCUCAGUGGCAGAGGUUCCUUCCAGCAGCUGCACCACCAGGUGCGAGGAGGACACCCUAAGUCCUCAGAAGCCUUCAGCUGUGUUGUACUCUGGCUAGAGACAGGUCACAGUCUGCUGGGACAAGGGAGCGGUUCCAGUGCACAGCCAUUGCACACACCACAGAAAGGCCACAGCACUCCUGCAGUGGGACAGCACUAACUGGAGAGCUC